GACAGAGGCCUCAAGCGUUAGGCGGAAUCACUGGGCUUAAAGCGUGUGUAGGCGGACUUCUAAGUGCCUUGUGAAAUCCCACGGCUCAACCGUGGAACUGCUGGGCAUACUGGGAGUCUUGGGCCAUUCAGGGGCAACUGGAACAAGCGGUGGAGCGGUGAAAUGCGUAGAUAUCGCUUGGAACGCCGAAGGUGAAAACAGGUUGCUGGGGGAUGUGCCGACGCUGAGACACGAAAGCCAGGGGAGCAAACGGG
rnacentral:rRNA from 1 species